GGAGAGUUGUCCGAGUGGCUUAUGGUGCAUGAUUGGAAAUCAUGUGUACGGUGUUUAGUCGUACCGAGGGUUCAAAUCCCUCACUCUCCG
rnacentral:tRNA from 1 species